rnacentral:rRNA from 1 species
UACGGGGGGAGCAAGCGUUGUUCGGAUUUACUGGGCGUAAAGGGCGCGUAGGCGGCCACCGCAAGUCGGUUGUGAAAUCUCCGGGCUUAACCCGGAAAGGUCAAUCGAUACUGCGGGGCUAGAGUGCAGAAGGGGCAACUGGAAUUCCCAGUGUAGCGGUGAAAUGCGUAGAUAUUGGGAGGAACACCAGUGGCGAAGGCGGCUCACUGGACCGGAACUGACGCUGAGGCGCGAAAGCGUGGGGAGCAAACGGG